rnacentral:rRNA from 1 species
UACGUAGGUGGCAAGCGUUGUCCGGAUUUACUGGGCGUAAAGAGCGCGCAGGCGGUCGUUCAAGUCGCGUGUGAAAGCCCCCGGCUCAACUGGGGAGGGUCACGCGAUACUGAUCGACUCGAAGGCAGGAGAGGGAAGUGGAAUUCCCGGUGUAGUGGUGAAAUGCGUAGAUAUCGGGAGGAACACCAGUGGCGAAGGCGGUGGUCUGGGCCGGCACUGACGCUGAGGAGCGAAAGCGUGGGUAGCAAACAGG